rnacentral:rRNA from 1 species
AUUGAACGCUGGCGGCAUGCCUUACACAUGCAAGUCGAACGGUAACGGGCCUUUGGGUGCCGACGAGUGGCGGACGGGUGGGUAAUACAUCGGAACGUGCCCGAUCGUGGGGGUUAACGAGGCGAAAGCUUUGCUAAUACCUCCUACGAACUACGUCUGCACGCAGGGGGCCGCAUGGCCUUGCUCGGCCGGUGGGGCCGGUGUCAGAGUAGGUAGUUGGUGGGGUAAAAGCUUACCAAGCCGACGAUCUGUCGCGGUUCUGAGAGGAUGAUCAGCCACACUGGGACUGAGACACGGCCCAGACUCCUACGGGAGGCAGCAGUGGGGAAUUUUGGACAAUGGGCGCGAGCCUGAUCCAGCGAUGCCGCGUGCAGGAUGAAGGCCUUCGGGUUGGAAACUGCUUUUGUACGGAACGAAAAGCCUUCUUUUAAUACAGGAGGGUCAUGACGGUACCGGAAGAAGAAGCACCGGCUAACUACGUG